AUACGUAGGGGGCAAGCGUUAUCCGGAUUUACUGGGUGUAAAGGGAGCGUAGACGGCAUGGCAAGUCUGAUGUGAAAACCCGGGGCUCAACCCCGGGAUUGCAUUGGAAACUGUCAAGCUAGAGUGCAGGAGAGGUAAGUGGAAUUCCUAGUGUAGCGGUGAAAUGCGUAGAUAUUAGGAGGAACACCAGUGGCGAAGGCGGCGUACUGGACUGAAACUGCAGUGGAGGCUCGAAAGCGUGGGGAGCAAAAAGGAUUAGAUGCCCUUGUGGUCCACUCCGUAAACGAUGAAUACUAUGUGUUGGGUUCCAAUAGGGAUUCGGUGCCGCAGCUAACGCAAUAAGUAUUCCGCCUGGGGAGUACGUUCGCAAGAAUGAAACUCAAAUGAAUUGACGGGG
rnacentral:rRNA from 1 species